UCAGGCUGGAAGCAAAAGAAGGGCCUUGAUUUUUCCCUGAGACAUUGUCAGGACAAGAUUAUGGACACCAUUGGCCCUCUGUCUAAGGCCUAUGAAGUUUUGGAAGCCGCCAAGGCGGGUGACGCGGAGCUUGAUAUUGACGUAGCGAUCGGUUGGGUGCAACGUGCCAUCUGCCUACUAGGCAAUGCUAAUAUGGCCGUCUCCGCUGAGCGCAGGAAGGCAAUCCUGCUUAAGAUUGAUCCUAAAUUGGCUACCAUGGCCGUCUCCGAACCUGGUCCCUCGGCUGAGGGGAUGCUCUUUGGAGAUAAUUUCGUAAGAGACCUGGGGUCUUACGUUAAAACCUUUACAGCCAUUGAUAAGGCCCAGGCUAAUAUGAAGAGGGUGUUUUCCCCUAGAGUUUUUG